UCUACUUAAUUAAGCUAAGAUCACUAACUAUUGGUAACUAACUCUAACAACAUCUACUAACUCUGCCAGCACUAACUCUACCAGAUGUCCUAACUAACUUGGCAGAAGAAGAAGAGAAAUGAAGUAGGAAACUUUUUUUGUGUAUUUGAUUGUGUAAAUAAUAACAUAUACAAUUCUGUAUUUAUAGACACAACUAUCCUCUACUUAAUUAAGCUAAGAUCACUAACUAUUGGUAACUAACUCUAACAACAUCAACUAACUCUGCCAGAUGUCCUAACUAACUUGGCA
rnacentral:lncRNA from 1 species